UGUGUUAUACGUGUCACACGGGACUGCCGGUUUUAAGCCGGAGGAAGGCGAGGAUGACGUCAAGUCAGCAUGGCCUUUAUAUCCUGGGCUACACACACGCUACAAUGGUCUGUACAACAGGUUGCCAAACCGCGAGGUGGAGCCAAUCCCUAAAACAGGCCUCAGUUCAGAUUGCAGGCUGCAACCCGCCUGCAUGAAGCCGGAGUUGCUAGUAACCGCAGGUCAGCUAUACUGCGGUGAAUACGUUCCCGGGUCUU
rnacentral:rRNA from 1 species